UAGCUAAGUGGCAGAGCGCGUGCUUAACAUGCACAAGGUCCUGGGUUCAAUCCCCAG
rnacentral:tRNA from 1 species